rnacentral:rRNA from 1 species
GAUGAACGCUGGCGGCGUGCCUAAUACAUGCAAGUCGAGCGGACGGACGAGGCGCUUGCGUCUCUGAUGUGAGCGGCGGGCGGGUGAGAAACGCGUGGAUCCCCUCCCUAUCAGUGUGAUAUCACUUCGGGAAACCGGCUCUAAUACCGGAGGAUAUUUUGCACCAUGUGGUUGAAUAGUAAAAUACGGUCGUGCGGUCAGGUCUAGAUGGAUCCGCACUUGAUUAGCUGGUUGGGAAGGUAACAGCCUACGAAGGGAAGGAUGCAUAGCCGACCUAAGGGGGGGAUCGCCCACCUUGGAAGGUGGACACGGUCCUGACUCCUACGGGAGGCACCAGUCGGGUAUCGUCCGCAAUGGGCGAAAGCCUUACGGAGCAACGCCGCGUGAGUGAUGAAGGCCUCCGGAUCGUAAAACUCUGCUAUUAGUGAUGAACAUAUGUGUAAGUAACUGUGCACAUAGUGACGGUACCUAAUCAGAAAGCCACGGCUAACUACGUG